UAAAAACCUCAACUUAAAGAAAACCACCCCAAACAUUGUAUGUGUGCUCCUUUCAUUUCAUUGAUAAAACGCUCACGGAGGAAAACCACCAUCCUACGUUGUGGUUGGGCUGUAACAAAUCUAUGGAGAUGAAACACCGGGUGCUGAGGAGGUUCAACAGCAGCUUCACAUGAAUAACAGGUAUGAUUUUAUAUGCAUGUGGAGGACACAGCUCUCAAGCUGGCAUAAAUAAACUGGAUGACUUUAUU